AGCGGGGGAUCUUCGGGCCUCGCGCUAUAGGGUUGGCCGAUGGCUGAUUAGCUAGUUGGUGGGGUAAAGGCCUACCAAGGCGACGAUCAGUAGCUGGUCUGAGAGGACGACCAGCCACACUGGGACUGAGACACGGCCCAGACUCCUACGGGAGGCAGCAGUGGGGAAUUUUGGACAAUGGGCGAAAGCCUGAUCCAGCAAUGCCGCGUGUGUGAAGAAGGCCUUCGGGUUGUAAAGCACUUUUGUCCGGAAAGAAAUCCUUGGCUCUAAUACAGCCGGGGGAUGACGGUACCGGAAGAAUAAGCACCGGCUAACUACGUGCCAGCAGCCGCGGUAAUACGUAGGGUGCGAGCGUUAAUCGGAAUUACUGGGCGUAAAGCGUGCGCAGGCGGUUUGCUAAGACCGAUGUGAAAUCCCCGGGCUCAACCUGGGAACUGCAUUGGUGACUGGCAGGCUAGAGUAUGGCAGAGGGGGGUAGAAUUCCACGUGUAGCAGUGAAAUGCGUAGAGAUGUGGAGGAAUACCGAUGGCGAAGGCAGCCCCCUGGGCCAAUACUGACGCUC
rnacentral:rRNA from 1 species